GAUGAAGAACGUAGCGAAAUGCGAUAAGUAAUGUGAAUUGCAGAAUUCAGUGAAUCAUCGAAUCUUUGAACGCACCUUGCGCCCUUUGGACAUUCCGAAGGGCAUGCCUGUUUGAGUAUCAUGAACACCUCAACUCUCACGGCUUGUCCGUGAUGAGCUUGGACUUUGGGGGUCUUGCCGGCCUGUGGUCGGCUCCUCUCAAAUGGAUCAGCUUGCCAGUGUUUGGUGGCAUCACAGGUGUGAUAACUAUCUGCGCUUGUGGUUUUCCAUCAGAUAACCUUCAGUGAUAUGGAGGUUCGCUGGAGCUCACAAAUGUCUCUCCUUAGUGAGGACAGCUCUUUGAACGUUUGAUCUCAAAUCAGGUAGGACUACCCGCUGAACUUAAGCAUAUCAAUAAACGGAGGA
rnacentral:misc_RNA from 1 species